CCUUCACCUCUGCCUACCCAUCCAAACUGGCCAUUCCUCCACUAAAGAGGACUUCCUGGAGGAAGAGACCUCCAGGGAAGGGAGAGGUUUGUGGAGUCACAUUGCUUCCUUGGAAAGUGACAGCAUCACAUGCAGGAUUUGAAAUGUGCUGAACCUCAGGAAUCCCUUACAAGAGUGAAGUGGACGUGCCCUGGGAAACAAACUCCAGUGCUGACCGGGACCCCGAGGCCAGAGGCAUAUGGCAAUCUAUGCAUUUUAGGUUCUGAGGCCACAGACUGGAAAGAGACUGAUCCCUGUCCUCCACCUCACCCCACCCAAGAGCUCACCGUCCAAAGAGGGAGAGGAAGAGCCAGACACCCAAACCUGUGCUGCCAACAGGAGUAGAUAGAGGAGGUGGGAAAGCCAUCUAACCAGGGGCUAGUAGGAAAUCGCUCAAUAGAAAGUGACAUUUCAGCUGUGUCUUUAAGGAUGAAUGAGGGCAAUGGGAGUGGCAUGCAAAGGACAGAGGUGAGAAGCAUCAGAUAGUCCACCAUGGCAGAAGAGAGAGUGGAUAUGGGUGUGGGGUCAGGGGAGGAGCUAGAUUGGGGCCCACUGUGACUGGCCUUGAAAGCCAGGCUAAAGAAUUUGGACUUAAUCCUGUCGGCAAUACUGAGCCAUCAGAGGUUUUGUAAGUAGGGGAGUAACAUGAUCAGAGCUGUGUUUAAGGAAGAUUAAUUAA
rnacentral:lncRNA from 1 species